rnacentral:rRNA from 1 species
AUGUCCUCCUCUGCCGCAGCCAACUCCAACCUCUUGGGCCAGGUCUCCGAGAGGCUAUCCCGCACCAACUACAUCCUCUGGCGCACCCAAAUUACCCCGCAGAUCAGAGGAGCCAGCUUCUUCGGAUACGUGGAUGGAACCACGCCAGAGCUGGCCAAGCACGUCGUCACCAAGAACAAGAAUGGGAAAGAAGAAACAAUUCCCAAUCCUCUCCACUCGGUUUGGAUCCGAGAGGAUCAACAGGUAUUGGGCUAUCUAUUAAACAAUCUGACCAAAGAAGUACUAGUGCAGAUCACCUCCAUUGAUCAUGUGCAUGAGCUUUGGGCAGCAGUAGCAGGGAUGUUUUCCUAGCAGUCGCUGUCUAGGGUAAACAAUAUCCACAUCAGGCUCUCUCAUGCACAGAAGGGAACGCAGUCCAUGGCGACGUACUUCGCAUACAUGCUGUCGCUUGCGGAUGAGCUUGCUGCUGUGGGCAAGCCUCUUCAAACGGUGAGCUGGUCUCCUACAUCCUCGCCGGCCUCGACAUGGAGUACCAGCCCCUCAUCUCCGCCCUCGACGUGCGCACACAGCCGGUCACCAUCGACGAGCUCUUCUCCCAGAUGA